rnacentral:rRNA from 1 species
GGAGUUAGCCGGUGCUUCUUCUGUGAGUGAUGUCCUUCCUGCCGGCUAUUAACCCGCAGGCCUUCUUCCUCACUGAAAGUGCUUUACAACCCGAAGGCCUUCUUCACACACGCGGCAUGGCUGGAUCAGGGUUGCCCCCAUUGUCCAAUAUUCCCCACUGCUGCCUCCCGUAGGAGUCUGGGCCGUGUCUCAGUCCCAGUGUGGCUGAUCAUCCUCUCAGACCAGCUACGGAUCGUCGCCUUGGUGAGCCGUUACCUCACCAACCAGCUAAUCCGACAUAGGCUCAUCCGAUAGCGCGAGGCCCGAAGGUCCCCCGCUUUCCCCCGUAGGGCGUAUGCGGUAUUAGCCUGGGUUUCCCCAGGUUAUCCCCCACUACCGGGCAGAUUCCUAUGCAUUACUCACCCGUCCGCCGCUCGCCACCAGGGAGCAAGCUCCCCGUGCUGCCGCUCGACUUGCAUGUGUUAGGCCUGCCGCCGNGUCGUACACUCGUAGACGCCAGUAGACUAACAAACCUUCGUACGUACGUAGACGGGCGGUCGUCGGACGAACGGCCGACUAAGU